CAGCGCCUACGGGAGGCAGCAGUGAGGAAUAUUGGUCAAUGGGCGGAAGCCUGAACCAGCCAAGUCGCGUGAGGGAAUAAGGCCCUACGGGUCGUAAACCUCUUUUGCCGGGGAGCAAGGGCGGGGACGUGUCCCGGCCCGGAGAGUACCCGGAGAAAAAGCAUCGGCUAACUCCGUGCCAGCAGCCGCGGUAAUACGGAGGAUGCGAGCGUUAUCCGGAUUUAUUGGGUUUAAAGGGUGCGUAGGCGGUCGGAUAAGUUAGAGGGGAAAUCCCGAGGCUCAACUUCGGAAUUGGCUCUGUAACU
rnacentral:rRNA from 1 species